GCCUGGGUGGCUCAGUCGGUAAGUGUCUGACUUUGGCUCAGGUCAUGGGUUCGCGGUCCGUGGGUUCGAGCCCCGCGUCGGGCU
rnacentral:tRNA from 1 species